UGGGGAAUUUUGCACAAUGGGGGAAACCCUGAUGCAGCGACGCCGCGUGAUUUAGAAGGCCUUCGGGUUGUAAAAAUCUUUUUUAUGGGAUGAAAAUGACAGUACCAUAAGAAUAAGGUCCGGAUAAAUACGUGCCAGCAGCCGCGGUAAUACGUAUGGACCGAGCGUUGUCCGGAAUCAUUGGGCGUAAAGGGUACGUAGGCGGCCCAGUAAGUUAGAAGUGAAAUAAUAUAGCUCAACUAUAUAAAGCUUUUAAAACUGCUAGGCUUGAGAGAUGGAAGGGAAAGUGGAAUUCCUAGUGUAGCGGUGAAAUGCGCAGAUAUUAGGAAGAAUACCGGUGGCGAAGGCGACUUUCUGGUCAUCAUCUGACGCUGAGGUACGAAAGCGUGGGUAGCAAACAGG
rnacentral:rRNA from 1 species